UAUCGAUAUAUUUUUUUAUACGAAUUGUGAUAUUUAUAGGUUAUAGGGGCAGUACAGAGGCAUUCUUAAAUUAACGUAAUUUAUUUGGUAUACAUAUAUAUCGUUGUUAAAAUAAGUUAAAGUCCUGAGAGACUAAACCUAUCCGACAGAUAAAGCGGUGCGUAUUAGAAAAUCUUCGAUUUGAUCGAUCAAAUUAAUAAAUUCGUAUAUGAAUUAUGUACAUUAAUGUAUACCAUGCAUCAUACUUAAUCUCGUUAUUUCUAAUUGGAGCAGAAUAUUUUAUAUACGCACACCCUUGUACACACGGCACUUUUAAUUAAUUUCCAAAGUUAUAAAUUAUUAUUAUGUAACGAUGCACCCCUCUCCGAUCACUACGAUCCGAAUCGGGCAGGAUCGGGAAAGUGAUCUCGUUGCUCAGAUCACAGCCCUUUUAUACCGAGCUGCUGUUUACUCGGUACGCGCAAGUGGGGGUCCGGGGGCGACGGCGUCGGGGCGACGGUCGGAAAACAAGUCGGAAAAAUACCCCCGCUACGUCACCUUCCGGGCCUUACCCCGGCGGUUAUUCGUUAAAUAUUCGGUACUUUAUUGUGCGCAUAGCGCCUUGUCUUCGUCCGCCGGAUGUUCGGGCGGACGGCAUCGGCGGAUAGUCGGCCGGAUUAUACGAUGCAGAGGGGUGCAUCGUUACAAUUAUUUUUUAGAAAUUUAUUAUGUUCGAAUGUUCGAAUAAUCUGGACGUAUCAAAAGGUAUAUUUAUAAUCUUAAAAGCUUACAUUAGGUAACUCGAAAGUGCAACAACAAUAUGACAGUUUGCAAUAAAAUUAUAACGAGUAGUACAACAAAAUGUGCAUUAACAAUCGUAGAUAUUAGAAAUGAGAUGGAGAUCAUUAUGAACAGUUCUUCUUUCGUUACAUGAGGUAUUAAACUGUCAACGUAUUAUAAUUAAAUCGCUUUCAACAAUGAAUCGAUUAUAAUAUUACGAGCUUUGUUUUUUUUAACAUUUAACCGCUACUGAUAUUCAUAUUUAGAAAAACUUAAUAAAAUCCUUUUAAUCAGAUUUGUAAUUAAGCUAGAAAUGCAAACUUCCAAUAAAUUGUUAUAAACAAUUAACUAAGAUGGAUAAUGUUCCAAAUUUUGUCGAAUAAUAAUAACUGUAGCUUUUUUUGUAAUAAUGAGUUUUGCAAAUUGAUAUACGAAUAAUAAAUGGAAUGUCAUUUAAUAUCAAUGAAGCGUGCGAUUCCUAAUGCCAUCAGGAACAAUAUUAUUUAGUAUAUGAGCAAUGUUAAAAUUUGAUGAUCAAUACGAGUUUUAUAUCAAACGUCUGUCCUUUCCCUCCAAGCUGUAAAAUCCAUGGCUCCUUUUACAUGAACUGUACAAUUUGUCAUAUCAUUC